UUAUUAUUUCACUCAGAAUACGGAACAAACCAGAAACCGUCAACGGGCGUAAAUGUGUAUUCAUAUAAAUUACUCCAAAUCGCACUAAUUUGACUUUAGAGCAAUUAGUCAAUGGCCGGCGCGCGCAUUGUUUACAUAUCCGUCAGAUUGACACUUUAUAAUUAAAUUAUGCCGUCUUGUGCCGUUCCAACAUGUAAGAAUGCUACUGGAAUUACGAAGAAAGUGCAUGGGAUCAUGUUUUAUCCGAUACACAGCCAGAGUUGCCUCGCAAUCAAAUUCAAGUAUUGGUGAUGUUUUUGAUUUGGAUUCUGUUUUUGACUCUAAGAAAAGUUAAACUAAAAGCACUACUGCGCCGUAAACAAAUGUUUUGUUGUCGAUAUGUUUACAUAAUAAAGAACCUUAAGUUUC